AAGUCGUAACAAGGUAACCGUAGGUGAACCUGCGGUUGGAUCAUUACGAAAUUCAAAACUCUGUGGGCUAGGUUGUACGUAGCUUCGGCUCGUGCAGCUCCCCAGAACAACACCCUUGUGAACGUUUAACGUAUUUUGGCGAGCCCUUAGCGUUUUAAAACGCGCUGAGAAUUGAUAGCGAAAGCUUUCAAUUUUGGCUCGCCAGCUUAUGAUACACUCCUAUAUACUUUAUAUCACUGAAACCAAAAAGAGAAACAAUGAGAAACAACUUUAGACAACGGAUCUCUUGGCUCUC
rnacentral:misc_RNA from 1 species